GACAGAGGGUGCAAACGUUGUUCGGAAUUACUGGGCGUAAAGCGUGUGUAGGCGGCCGCGUAAGUCGGAUGUGAAAGCCCCGGGCUCAACCUGGGAACUGCAUUUGGGACUGCAAGGCUGGAGUACGGCAGAGGGAGGUGGAAUUCCACGUGUAGCAGUGAAAUGCGUAGAGAUGUGGAGGAACACCGAUGGCGAAGGCAGCCUCCUGGGCUAGUACUGACGCUCAUGCACGAAAGCGUGGGGAGCAAACAGG
rnacentral:rRNA from 1 species